GCAGCAGUGGGGAAUAUUGCACAAUGGGCGCAAGCUGAUGCAGCCAUGCCGCGUGUGUGAAGAAGGCCUUCGGGUUGUAAAGCACUUUCAGCAGUGAGGAAGGUGGUGUAGUUAAUACCUGCACCAUUUGACGUUAGCUGCAGAAGAAGCACCGGCUAACUCCGUGCCAGCAGCCGCGGUAAUACGGAGGGUGCGAGCGUUAAUCGGAAUUACUGGGCGUAAAGCGCAUGCAGGCGGUUUGUUAAGCAAGAUGUGAAAGCCCCGGGCUUAACCUGGGAACCGCAUUUUGAACUGGCAGGCUAGAGUCUUGUAGAGGGGGGUAGAAUUUCAGGUGUAGCGGUGAAAUGCGUAGAGAUCUGAAGGAAUACCGGUGGCGAAGGCGGCCCCCUGGACAAAGACUGACGCUCAGAUGCGAAAGCGUGGGGAGCAAACAGGAUUAGAUACCCUGGUAGUCCACGCCGUAAACGAUGUCUACUUGGAGGCUGUGACCAUGAGUUGUGGCUUUCGGAGCUAACGCGUUAAGUAGACCGCCUGGGGAGUACGGUCGCAAGAUUAAAACUCAAAUGAAUUGACGGGGGCCCGCACAAGCGGUGGAGCAUGUGGUUUAAUUCGAUGCAACGCGAAGAACCUUACCUACUCUUGACAUCCAGAGAAUUCGCUAGAGAUAGCUUAGUGCCUUCGGGAACUCUGAGACAGGUG
rnacentral:rRNA from 1 species